rnacentral:rRNA from 1 species
UACAGAGGUCUCAAGCGUUGUUCGGAUUCAUUGGGCGUAAAGGGUGCGUAGGCGGCGCGGUAAGUCGGGUGUGAAAUCUUGGAGCUUAACUCCGAAACUGCAUUCGAUACUGCCGUGCUUGAGGACUGGAGAGGAGACUGGAAUUCCCGGUGUAGCGGUGAAAUGCGUAGAGAUCGGGAGGAACACCCGUGGCGAAGGCGGCCAUCUGGACCAGUACUGACGCUGAGGCACGAAAGCGUGGGGAGCAAACAGGG